rnacentral:rRNA from 1 species
GGUGAACGCUGGCGGCGCGCUUAAUGCAUGCAAGUCGAGCGUGACUCGAUGGGGCAACCUGUCGGGUUAAGCGGCAAACGGCUGAAUAACGCGUGAGCAACCUGCCCUCCGGUGGGGUACAGCCCCGAGAAAUCGAGGUUAAUCCCGCAUACGGUCCCCAGGCCCUGGUCUGGGGAAGAAAGCCUUCGGGCGCCGGAAGAGGGGCUCGCGUCCUAUCAGGUAGUUGGCGGGGUAACGGCCCACCAAGCCGAUGACGGGUAGCUGGUCUGAGAGGAUGGCCAGCCAGAGGGGGACUGAGACACGGCCCCCGA